rnacentral:rRNA from 1 species
GACGAACGCUGGCGGCGUGCUUAACACAUGCAAGUCGAACGGAAAGGCCCUGCUUUUGUGGGGUGCUCGAGUGGCGAACGGGUGAGUAACACGUGAGUAACCUGCCCUUGACUUUGGGAUAACUUCAGGAAACUGGGGCUAAUACCGGAUAGGAGCUCCUGCUGCAUGGUGGGGGUUGGAAAGUUUCGGCGGUUGGGGAUGGACUCGCGGCUUAUCAGCUUGUUGGUGGGGUAGUGGCUUACCAAGGCUUUGACGGGUAGCCGGCCUGAGAGGGUGACCGGCCACAUGGGGACUGAGAUACGGCCGAGACUCCUACGGGAGGCAGCAGGGGGGAAUAUUGCACAAGGGGCGGAAGCCGGAUGCAGCAACGCCGCGUGCGGGAUGACGGCCUUCGGGUUGUAAACCGCUUUCGCCUGUGACGAAGCGGGAGUGACGGUAAUGGGUAAAGAAGCACCGGCUAACUACGU